GGGUGAGUAACGCGUGGGAAUCUACCUUUUGCUACGGAAUAACGCAGGGAAACUUGUGCUAAUACCGUAUGUGUCCUUCGGGAGAAAGAUUUAUCGGCAAGAGAUGAGCCCGCGUUGGAUUAGCUAGUUGGUGGGGUAAAGGCCUACCAAGGCGACGAUCCAUAGCUGGUCUGAGAGGAUGAUCAGCCACAUUGGGACUGAGACACGGCCCAAACUCCUACGGGAGGCAGCAGUGGGGAAUAUUGGACAAUGGGCGCAAGCCUGAUCCAGCCAUGCCGCGUGAGUGAUGAAGGCCCUAGGGUUGUAAAGCUCUUUCACCGGAGAAGAUAAUGACGGUAUCCGGAGAAGAAGCCCCGGCUAACUUCGUGCCAGCAGCCGCGGUAAUACGAAGGGGGCUAGCGUUGUUCGGAAUUACUGGGCGUAAAGCGCACGUAGGCGGAUCGAUCAGUCAGGGGUGAAAUCCCAGGGCUCAACCCUGGAACUGCCUUUGAUACUGUCGAUCUGGAGUAUGGAAGAGGUGAGUGGAAUUCCGAGUGUAGAGG
rnacentral:rRNA from 1 species